UCCCCUUCCCUUUCUUUCAUCAUCACUGGACAUUGCUGUUCUUGCUCCUGCUAAUGUCUCCCUUCGUUACAUCAGGUCCCGCCUUUGUGGCUCUUCAGCUGAGGAAACCAGCCAAGACCUUCAGUAACUCCAUGUCUUGGAAAUGAAAACUGAGACAAAGAAAAAAGGCCCUUGGUGCCCGCAUGCCACUUCGCUAGAUCACAGGUCCAAGCCAAGAAGCUUGCAACAAUAAAACGCCAGCCUAGUCUUCUGUCAUGAUUGUCUACAAACCUCAUAAAAAUUUGCUGCCUUGGGCCCAGGAAUGAGAUCUGUCAAAGACCGGAAUGUUCCCCACCCCAGCCUGGAGAAAAGGGGGACAAGAUGACUUCAGGACCCCCGAAGCCUGGUCUUUUCAAACGCCACACCUUGCCUUCCACCUUUACAGCUGCUUAGAGCCCGAGGUCAUCACUGAGGCCAGCGAGGACACAGAUUCCCAAAGCCCAGAAAUUUCCAAAACCUUUAACUCUUUAGGCUUCCUUAGAGUUAAAGGCUAUAGUGGCCUUUCCUGGGAGGCCAUUAUAGCUCAUCCCCCUAGUGAGGACAGAGGGAGCUGAAGGCUUUGGAAAAGUUGGUAGAUACAGUUGCCAUGAGAGCCACCCAAGUGACCGCUCCUUUCCUGGACGGGAAUAACACCUUUUAAAAAGGAAAAUGAUGUCUUUACAAAUGCAUUCACUGAAAAGAAGGAAAAGGAGAAAGCAGCCAGCAGGGCCUCUAGAGGCCCAGGUCUUCCCUCUAGGUGCAGGUAAUGGGGCCUCUGCCCUGUGCUCCGGGGUUUCUGGGCAGUGAGCUGUGUCAUGUGAGAAGUAUAGCCACUCGCCUGACUUACCUACCAGGGCCAGACUGUGGCAAGGAGCCCAAGACCCUGAGAAAGUUAGUCAUCUCCCCUCUGUCCCCCAUAACUCUUCAUUCAGAUGUUCACAGUAGCGGUCGACACGUUGUAUUCUUGUUGUUUAUGUUUCUGUCACCUCAGAGAGGCCAGAAGCUUCUUGACGGCAGGUGCUAGUUCCAUCCAUCCCAGCAUCCUCACGCCCAGCUCAGGGCCUGGCAGAGAGGAGAUGUGAGUAAAUGCUGAAUGAACGAAAACAGCAUAUGGACAGCACAGAGUUCAAAUCCCAGCCCAGCCUCCCAGUACCUGUGAGAGCUGGGACAAGCUACUUAACCUCAGGGAGCCUCAUGGUAGGAAUUAAAUACGAGGAAGCAUUUUGGGACGCCUGGGUGGCUCAGUCGGUUGAGCAUCCAACUUCAGCUCGGGUCAUGAUCUCACGGUUCGUGGGUUCGAGGCCCGUGUCAGGCUCUGUGCUGACACCUC